rnacentral:tRNA from 1 species
GCCCCAGUAGCUCAAUGGUAGAGCGGUGGGCUGUUAACCCAUAGGUUGCAGGUUCGAGUCCUGCCUGGGGCG